GCUCAGGGUAUCGGGAUCGCUCACUAUGUGGCCUUGACUCUUUAAGAAUUCCCACACCUGCUCCAAGUACCCGCCGAGCUAUGGAGGAGGCUGCCACAACAACCUCUGCUACAAAGUCCCCUCUUCUCACCAGAUUACCAUUACGAAGAUCCCAUCAUCACUAAAACGGAUGAGAUGAAUGAAGUGGAGAUUUCACAGGUUGCAGAGCAGAAGCUGGUGUGGUUCUACCCUCUGGAAAGCAAGGCCAGCAAACCCAUCAAGCCCAAGAAAGUCGUCCCAGAGUCCUACAUGAGCAAGACAGCCUCUUUUUUCCUUAACUCCUAUAAAUUUCUAUGGGAAGAGGUGUAGAAAGUGAUGAGGAGGCUCAGGGAAAAAGUAACAGGGAGGAUGUUUGAGUGGAGGGGGAGGAAAUCUGUGUGAAAAUUCAUUGUUCAUUAGAGCAGAAGCCUACCAGAAGUGGAAAGAAAAGCUUUCAAAAGCCACUCGUGCCUUCUGCAUAUAAUCUGCUAUAGUUAUUUGUUCUUUUAAGCCAUCUCAAGGAGGUAUCAAUGAACCAAAGGUCCUCUGAUCAGUAAUCAAUUUAAGAUAUAUUGGUUUUAUUUUCCAUUCACAAUGCUUCACACUCAGCAGUUUACCCUUGGCAGGUUUUCUGGGUUUUUUAGUUUGCUUCUUUCUUAUUUCUUGCUUGGGGAAGAUUUUUGAAGAUAUUUGUGGAGCUGGUAGUACUUCCUCAGUUGUUUUCUGCCUGUUGUUAAUUAAAAGAGACUUAUUGUGAAAACAAGGUGAGGGAAGCCAAUGCAUCCUUUUCAAGUUUAUCUUCCAGCAUCUCAAGAGUCUGUAAUUAAAUAGAGUAUGAGAGCUCCGGCUUGCAGACAUCAGGCUGUACAUCAAAGCCUUCAACUGUCAGAUGUUUCUUCCUUGCUAAUAUUUCCGAAGACACCUGUCUCAGGUGAAGGACUAAAGAAGCACAAACUGCUCCAGGCUAAGAUUUUAUCAUGCUGCACCAAAGACCUCCAGGAAAGAUGCAUGGUGGCUGCUCAUUUUCAUAUCUCAAGAGCAAUCUCUUUCCUUUUUAAAAUACUUCUUUAUUUUUUCUCCUCAGCACAAGUCAUAACAUGUGAAACCAAGAUAAAUGCAGAAGCUCAACAUGCAACAGGUAGGGUUUGAUUGAUACUUCUUGGAGCGCUGCAGGAAAAAGCGGCUUAAAAAUAUCUAGUUUUUGAAAAUAUAUGACAUGGAGCUUUUUUGAUUUUUUUUUGUGAUUAUCUAGGUAGAUCUCUUUAAAAAUAUAGCCUUCAGCCAAGUCUAGCAGUAAGGUGACUCAGUUUAUUCAGCCAUGAGGACCCACAGUUUCAGGUGUCCAAAAUAAUUUAAAAAAUUUUGGCAGUGUCCCUUUUUGAGCCUUUUUCAUGCAUUCCACCACUGUCCAAGCCAGACAUGGUUUGUCCCCUCCCAGUCAGUCAAGAAUUUCUGGUUAAGGUUUCUGCAAAGAACAGGACAGUUUAUCACUUGGAGAAAACCCAAAUCCACAGAAUCUAAGUAUUGGUUGGGGUUUUAAGGAAGGUAGAGAAACUGUUUUAAAAAGUAGCUAUUUUGCAAUCUUGUUUUAAAAUGGAAGAGUUACAUGAAAUGAAUGGAAUGACUACUAAGAGUCAAAGUCUGUUUUUCUUAAAUUGUUUUUUUGCUACCCUCAAAGAUAUAUAUCUUUACUAGGUAUUUGUGCCCAGCUGGCUACUUGUACAGUAAGGGAAAGAUCUUUGGAACAUUUUAUUAUGAAAGUGUGAGUACAUUGUCAUAGCUCAUAGAUGUAAUUUGUGGGGAGUUAGUGGUAAUAACAGAAAUGGGAAAUGCCAACAAGUCCAGUGUAAUUUGGCUUUUUGUAUUCUCCAGUUGUGGUGCUGUAAAAAGGUGCUAAUAAAGAUUAUCUGUAUUUUUCUCAUCUUGACAAUGGAAAAAAGAGGCAGUCUGGAAAGCCAAAGUGAUUCCAGACUUGAUUUUAUGCCCUUAAUUUGCUAUGAAACUCAUGGAAAAUGAGGGAUGGGGAUCAAUAGACAGCUCUUACAAAGAUCUCUUCUUUAGUGUGGGCAACUGUCAUGCUGAAAAGAAACUUUAUAUGAAAAACACCACUAAAUGUUGCAACUAAAUAAUAUUUGGGGAAGAUUUGUUGGAUCUUGAAUUAGCAGGAUAAUUUAUAAAUAAUUCAUGGCAUUCUUUUCCCAUCAGAACUACUUUUGGGGUGAAGGAAGGUUGAAGAUAAAAGGGGGUUUGUCUAAAAAGCAUGUUUGCUUUCCCCAUUCUCACUGUUGGUGCAUGACUGCAUCACCCAUGAUACAUCUUUGCCCUGCAACUUAUGUGAUUGCAGACAGCCACCUCAUCCAAGUGGUUUCAGCAGAAGUAUUUUGGAUUUGGAUGUUUUCUUGAGAGCUGGAAAUAUUUCAUGCUGGUCACUUAUUUCCGAUGCUGCUUUUCUGCUAAAUUGUAUCUAAAUGUCAGGGGUUUUUUAUAAAAAAAAAAAAAAAAAGCUUGCCAUUCAACCAGGCAGCACUUAAAAUACUAACAGCAAUAAUAAAGCUAUUUUGGGAGAGUAAGAUUUAACAACCAAAUUCCAAAGGAAUGUACUCAGAUUAUUUUCCAUUUGGCACUUUGGUGGUGGUUUCAUUUUUUCUUAAUUUUUUUCACAGAGGUUGGUCAGUAUUGCUGUGUGAAUGAGAUUUAUUUUGCAUACUAUUUGUAUUUGUGCUCUUGUCAGUCAUCAAGCAUAUGCUGUGCUGCAAUUCAUUAUGGCAUCCUAGAUAAUAAAGGAGGACUGGUUGAUAUCACGAGGAAGGGAAGGAUACUGGCUUUUGUGAAGUCUACCUGGAAUGGUGUGGAGUCUUUUAGAUAUGACUUGCUGAGGGGGUUGGCUUGAGAAAGGACGCCUGUGGCACCGGAGCGGAGCCGGGGGAGAUCAGUG